rnacentral:rRNA from 1 species
UACGAAGGGAGCUAGCGUUGUUCGGAAUCACUGGGCGUAAGGCGCACGUAGGCGGAUGUGUCAGUCAGGGGUGAAAUCCCGGAGCUCAACUUCGGAACUGCCUUUGAUACAGCACGUCUUGAGUCCGAUAGAGGUGGGUGGAAUUCCUAGUGUAGAGGUGAAAUUCGUAGAUAUUAGGAAGAACACCGGUGGCGAGGGCGGCCCACUGGAUCGGUACUGACGCUGAGGUGCGAAAGCGUGGGGAGCAAACAGG